UACUGUAACGUUUGUGGGUCAUCGUAAAUUCCCUUUUUUCUAUUUUUAGAUACUAUAUAUAACUAUAGUUGUCCGGUCACUUUUUCGCGGGGAUCGUUUAUCUCGUGCUUGAACUCAAUGUCCAGACUUGGAUAUUUAAACCUCGUCAGGGCAGUAUUUCUUUAGAUUGGGGAAAACUUUUGUACUGGUAAGUUGUACUUUAAAUUCCAUUUUAUUUUGUAUUUCGAUGUUUGACUUAUUAUAUAAAUAUUUAUUUCUUUACAUUUGAUAUAUUUCUUUUCGGUUUCGUAGUCAAACAGUUCUAAAGUAUUAAAUUACGUUUCCGUUCCAGAAUAAAUAGAGGGAAUUGUACACUAGCUAGAUAUUUUAUGAUUUCGGGUUUAUAAAGAGAUGGAGUUCAUUUUGAUAGCGAUAUUUAGACAGAUGGUUAAUCCGAGGGUUAUUUUGGAGUAACGGUCGUCAAUCUACGGAAUUGUUCGUGCCUUACUCUGAAAUAGAAUUUUGUAUAAUCGCAUGUUUUGGUUUUGGAUCUUGAACUGGUCAAUGAUAUUGAAAAACGUUUUCAGACAUUGCUCUGGUUGGAUUGAAAAUUAAACGGGUAUAGAGAAAUACGAUGUUUUUUUUUACUGGAUCGAUUUUUGUUCCCUAGUCAUAGAAUAAUGAGGUUCAUGAUCUAGUCUAACAAAGUCGGUGGGAACCAGUGGGUAUAUUUUUUUUUGUCUCGGAAGGUUGACGUCACAACUUGAUUGAUUGGAUAAUAUUUUAGUUAAAGACGACUAGUGUACAGCUCUCAAUAUUUUAAGAAAACGGACAUCUCAAAAUUCUAGUAUCGUUUUAUUUUAUUCAAGUAGAUAGCACUAAGGCCAAACGCUUCCCUAAAUUGGUUAACUUGUAAAGGGUAUUUUUCACCUCAUCGUUUGUCCAAAAAGGGGAAGUUCGAAAAUGUAUUGAAAUUCUGAAUUGAUAUUUUCACAUGGAGAUACCGCGAUAUUUAUGUAUUUAUAAUGUCUUUGUCUAUUAAAUAUGAAACUGUUUUAUGAAUUUUGGUCAUUUGUUAUAUGAGUAAAUACAUUGCUUGGCAAAUCGUCAUCACUGGUCAUUUUUAGGUUUCUUAUACCUGUCAUUUAUUAAAUUUAUUGUUUUCUUGUAUUGUUAGUAUUCUGUCAGAAGUCCUGGAGCGAAAGCACAGACCGAACCCUCUCUACCAGUAACGUAAACGGCUGAGCUAGCGGGGUAUAAUGUCACGAGACAGAUUAUGAAUGAAAAAUACGUUUACACACGAAAACCCAUUUACGUUGCAUUGGCGCCCACGUAGGAACCCAGCUUUACUAGAGUCCCCCACCCCCUCUUUACUAGAGACCCCUCUUCUUUACUAGAUUUAGGACCUUUUCAUUUCAUUUCCGAAUUUCCGCACCUCAUUACUUUGAUUUUUUUCUCUCGAGAAAAUCGGUAGCGACAGUGGAGGGCUGAGCUUGGAAUAUAAAUUGUAUAGCUUGUCAGAUUUUUCACCGGCUGUGUAACAUAAUGUUGUUAUCAUUCAUUUCAUGUUCAUAAGAAGAAAAUAAAAAAGAGUUUAUUUCGUAAUGUUUUUUUCCCUUGCCGACAGUGUAUGUAUUUGUCGUGUCUCCUUAUCUGCGAAGUAUAACUAUAGUCGAACGUUUAUAUAUUGAUGGAUUUAUUUCUAUGGACAAUCUGUAUGUUGAAAGGUUGGUUCUGACACCUGACCAAGGUCAGAACCAACGUAUGUGAAUUAUAUUCUUGACUGCAGCAAGGAUGCGUUAUGCUGAAGAACUAUUUUAUAUAUGUGCGGAAUAACGGAAUUUGGACUAUUUACAGUCAUUGUGUGUCAUGAACUGAUACUUCGUUAAGAUAAGGGGUACGAAACCUUUGUUUUUGUAUGUUGGCAAAUUUGAUUAUUUGUGGAUUGUUUUUAUAAAAAGUCAUAUUCAUUGAUAGGUUGUUUUAUGUUGUAAAUUUACGUAUUAGUUAUUUUUUAUUACAAGUCCGUGCAUAGACUUGUUGUGAAUAAGGGAUUGUUUUCUACACAGUCGGUGCCUUCAUACUCGAAUAUAUCUGAUAUAUAUUAUUUGCUAUUAAGGGGUUUAGUAUACGUUUUUUUUCGGGG
rnacentral:lncRNA from 1 species